UGUUGAAACACUGGUUCUCGUUCGAUCACCGAAGUUAAGCAACAUUGAGCCUGGUCAGUACCUAGGCAGGUGAACGCUUGGGAAUAUAAGGUGCUGUAA